UGGCCUACUGUGUCAAAUAUUACCGUGUGUUUUUAUUGAAAAUAUGUAUGUCACGUAUGGAGUUAACAAAGACAAUUCAGCACAUAUCAUGGCCUCUCAGGUGGUAAGUUUGGAUGUAAUGUGACUAUAUGGUGGGUUUGCCUUAAACAUUAUUGCAUCUAUUAUUGGUGCUACAUUCCCUUCAACAUGAUGCAGUCUUCCCUUUCAAGUUUAAAAUGUAAUAAUCAGAUUAUGAAUAUUGUUUCCAACGUUAAUUAGUUUAAUUAGUUUAUCAUAGUUCUGGAUCAGGACCUUGCUGCAGUACUUUCUCUGCUAUGUUUCAUUUAAUUAUAUUUAAUGCAAUCUCUGUAUUUCUCCAGAGGCUACAUAAGCCUUCAGCCAAAGAAUCAAAAUCAAUACAGAGGGCUAUUCUGAGUCCUGUGUUUUAAGGCUUUUAUGCCAUCAUAAGAAAAUUUCUUCAGCCUUGCAUCUGAGAAAAGAUUCACCAAAAAGAAAAAAAAAAUAAAUUUACAGAUGUGGGAAUUACGAUACAGAAGUAUACAGCUCUCCAUUUCUCCUCAGCUUAUUCUGAGAUCUUCAGAUUGGCAGAAGGAAACAAAUCAAAACAUGUUGCAGGAGGUGAGACAAAACAAUGAAGAUGUACCUGUAUGGAGAGACAUCAAAACAGCCCAGCAGUCAUUUCUCCUGGACAGAUACCCCCAGACAAUACUAGUGUAAGGCAAUAUUAGUGUACUUUUGUCACUAUCAAAUACACAAAAUUUCUAAAUGAAACCAGUUAUUAAAAAUUGUUCAUGUUUUAAUUUUUUAAGUAUUUAUUCAAGCUAUUUUUUUCUAUGGGUUGUAUUUUGCUCAGAUAUCAAAAUUGCUAGCCAGAAAUUAUAAAAUCCCUUCAUCCUGCUAUGAUAUUAUUUUCAUUUUUCCUUUAAACAUGAAUUAAUUUACCACUAAGCCAAAUUAGUGUCCCUAGCAAUAAUUUUCUCCCUCUUCCUAAAAUUGAGCGGUGAGGGAUUGUCUCACCGCUCAGUUUCUUGUAAUCUCUUGAUUUAGUUACACAAAGAUGAGUACUCUAAUUAUAAAAAUAGUCAAAACUGGUAUCUACUUUUCCACAUGAAGUCUUUAUUCUUUGAUAAAACAACUUUUUUUUUUUUUCCUUUCAACAACAAGAAGAAAAAAUAUUACAGGGUAAUAAAGCUAAGCUAAAACUCUUAAAAAAAAAAAAA
rnacentral:lncRNA from 1 species